rnacentral:misc_RNA from 1 species
GCCGCCCACUCGAUCCCUUCUCCUCCCAGCUUCGUUCACUCCGUCUCCUCAGCUCGCCAUGGGCAAGAUCAAGAUCGGAAUCAAUGGAUUCGGAAGAAUCGGGCGUCUCGUCGCCAGGGUCGCGCUCCAGAGCGAAGAUGUGGAGCUUGUUGCCGUGAACGAUCCGUUCAUCACCACCGAUUACAUGACCUAUAUGUUCAAGUAUGACACCGUCCACGGCCAAUGGAAGCACCACGAGAUCAAGGUGAAGGACUCGAAGACCCUCCUCUUCGGUGAGAAGGCUGUUACUGUCUUCGGUGUCAGGAACCCUGAGGAGAUCCCAUGGGGCGAGGCUGGUGCGGACUAUGUUGUGGAGUCCACUGGUGUUUUCACUGACAAGGAUAAGGCUGCUGCUCAUCUCAAGGGUGGUGCGAAGAAGGUGAUCAUCUCGGCUCCUAGCAAGGAUGCUCCUAUGUUUGUGAUGGGUGUGAACCACGAGGAGUACAAGUCAGAUAUCAGUAUUGUCUCCAAUGCUAGCUGCACCACUAACUGCCUUGCUCCUUUGGCCAAGGUUAUCAAUGAUAGGUUCGGCAUUGUUGAGGGUCUCAUGACUACUGUGCACGCUAUCACCGCCACUCAGAAGACUGUUGAUGGACCAUCCAGCAAGGACUGGAGGGGUGGAAGGGCCGCAAGUUUCAACAUCAUUCCAAGCAGCACUGGUGCUGCUAAGGCUGUUGGAAAAGUUCUUCCUGCAUUGAAUGGUAAGCUGACCGGCAUGUCUUUCCGUGUUCCUACUGUGGAUGUUUCUGUUGUUGACCUUACUGUCAGACUUGAGAAGUCCGCUACCUAUGAUCAGAUCAAGGCUGCUAUCAAAGAAGAGUCUGAGGGGAAACUGAAAGGAAUCCUGGGUUAUGUUGAGGAGGAUUUGGUGUCCACUGACUUUGUGGGUGACAGCAGGUCAAGCAUCUUUGAUGCCAAGGCUGGGAUUGCUCUGAACGAUAACUUUGUGAAGCUGGUAUCCUGGUAUGACAACGAGUGGGGCUACAGCACUCGUGUGGUUGAUCUGAUCCGCCAUAUAGCCAAUACCAAAUAGAUUGCCUGCUUAAGUUGAGAGCACUGGUGUGUAUGACGUUCGGUAAUAAAUGUCUUAGGAAACUGGUUGAUGAAAUCCUUCUAUGUUUUGUUUCUAGUGUAAGGGCUGGAGAUGCCCCACAUUUUGGUUGAUUGUAAGGUUUAACUGAUGGAAUCUUCAGUAAUCGUUUUAUCUGGCAUGAAUUACUUUAUACAUGUUUCUCUUUGGUAUCAG